rnacentral:tRNA from 2 species
GCCGAGAUAGUCUAGUCCGGUAAGGCGGUGGCCUUGAAAGCCACUGGUGAUUCCACCUCAGGAGUUCAAAUCUCCUUCUCGGCG